CCGGCGCACUUCGCGCCGCCCUCCCGCCCCGCCUCUCGGCCUUGCUCCGCCCAUUUUGAGGCCUGAAGACCAAUGGCAGCCCUUACCGUCAUUACGAUUAGACCAACCAGCACUCAGAUACUUAAAAAUGCAUUUGAAGAAGCCACCUGAUAUCUAAAACAGAGAGAAUAUUAAAUAAGUCUCUGUGCCGCCAUGCAUCCAGGAGGCCUUUCAUUAAUGUGAGGAUGGAACCAAGCCCUGUGAAUUAAGAAUGGCACAGGCAAGACACAGUGGAACAUGAAACAAAAGCCCUCUGCAGGAAGCCAGCCUGGACCUUACUGGAUAGGAAAGACCCAGUUCUGAUUGUACACAAAGCUUUGUCACCACACAACCUCAAGGGGAAGUAACCAUGAAGAUCGUAGCCUGUCUGCUUAAACAGGGACAACGACGAUUGCGAUAAAGCUCUGCUGGUUGGGGAAUCAAUGACAGGAAACACAAAUGGCAGUUGGUAAGGAUGACUUGGUGACACCCAGGUUUGCUUGGACACAAGGGAGAAAUGUUUACCUUGUCACUGUUAAGCAAAAAUCAACUCCCCACCACCACCACCACCACCACCCUCACCCCCCACCCCCAAGGAAAUGAUCAAGGAUGUAGAAUUAAAAUAAAUAAAUAAAAGGUUUGAACACUGAA